rnacentral:rRNA from 1 species
AUAAAUAAGCGGAGGAAAAGAAACCAAAUGGGAUUUCCUGAGUAACGGCGAGCGAAAAGGAAAAUGUCCAGCGCCAAGUCUUGACAUUUAAGAUGAUCAAGAGAUGCGGCGUUAAUGUGUUGGCGCAUCGUACAUUGCUUUUAAUUUCAAGUUCCUUUGACUAGGACAUCCAAAGUGGGUGACAGGCCUAUAGAAAUUGAAAGCUGAUGUAUGCCGGCCAUCGCAUUCUAGAGUCAGGUUGCUUGAGAGUGCAGCUUAAAGUCGGUGGUAAACUCCAUCUAAGACUAAAUAUUACAGCGAGACCGAUAGCAAACAAGUACCGUGAGGGAAAGUUGCAAAGCACUUUGAAGAGAGAGUUCAACAGUACGUGAAACCACUGGAAGGCAAACAAAUGGAGCCACGAAGUUGUGUUCCGGUCGAUUCAAUCACUAUUGUAGAAUAGAAGCGUUUGUUGCGGAUCUCCUUAGAGGUUGCUCAAAUGAMUAUAUUUUGCAUUGGUGGUGCAUUUCGUGCCGGAAAUGCAAAGCCACGUUUAGCUAGAGUUGAAGCGGCUGUAGGAAAGGGCGUCAGAAAGGUGACUAUCAUGUGCUUGCAUUUGGUAGCGUUAUAGCCUGAUGCUGGCACCGUUAUCAACAAGCUAGCUAAUAAAAAUGCUCUUUCGAGAGUUGUUGUCAUGUCUGCCUGUGGCGUUUAGUCUACAUUUCGAAGAUUUCUUUGCGUGCUUUUGGUGCGAAAAGAAGCUUUAACAAUGUUGGCUAGAUGUUGCUUGCAUGAGGUGAUAGAACUGUGGCACGAGUAGGUCGGUUUCCAUCUGACCCGUCUUGAAACACGGACCAAGGAGCCUAUCAUAUACGCGAGUCGCUCGGUCUUGAAUAGGCCCGGGAGGCAAAAUGAAAGUAAAACUACGAGACUUUGGUCGCAGUAGUGGCUCGCCUACUUCGUUUAUUGGCGAUCAGGCGAAGCUGGAGCGUAUACGAUGGUACCCGAAAGAUGGUGAACUAUGCCUGGGCAAGAUGAAGCCAGAGGAAACUCUGGUGGAAGUCUGUAGCGAUUCUGACGUGCAAAUCGAUCGUCAGACCUGGGUAUAGGGGCGAAAGACUAAUCGAACCAUCUAGUAGCUGGUUUCCUUCGAAGUUUCCCUCAGGAUAGCAGGCAUUUGAUUAAACUCAGUCUCAUCCGGUAAAGCUAAUGAUUAGAGGUCUUGGGGUUGAAACGACCUCAACCUAUUCUCAAACUUUGAAUGGGUGAGAUGGAUGACUUUCUUGAUUGAAGCCAUCCAUUUGGAUGUAAGUGCCUAGUGGGCCAGCUUUGGUAAGCAGAACUGGCGCUGUGGGAUGAACCAAACGUCGAGAUAAGGCAUCUAAUGCAUACGCUCAUCAGACCCCAUGAAAGGUGUUGGUUGCUAUAGACAGCAGGACGGUGGCCAUGGAAGUCGGAAUCCGCUAAGGAGUGUGUAACAACUCACCUGCCGAAGCAACUAGCCCUGAAAAUGGACGAUGCUGUAGCGUGGAGCCGAUACUCGACCGUAACAACGAUUGUUAAAAAUGCGAUGUUGUUACGAGUAGAAGGUACGCAAUGAUGGCGUUGAAGGUGUGAGACGUAAGUCUCCCUGGAGCCGUUAUUGUUGCAGAUCUUGGUGGUAGUAGCAAAUACUCAAGUGAGAAUCUUGAGGACUAACGCAGAGAAGGGUUCCAUGUGAACAGCAGUUGGACAUGGUUCAGUCGGUCCUAAGGAAGCGGAGAAAUCCGUUGAAACGACCUUAAUUAAUUAAAUAAUAUUGAUACAAGGUUGAUUUUCCGAAAGGGAAUCAGGUCAAUAUUCCUGAACUGAGACAUGGAGGAUGUGCUUUCGGGCACUAAUGCGGUAACGCAAUCAAAUUCGGAUACAUCGGCGGCAGUCCCGGGAAGAGUUGUCUUUUCUCUAUAAGGUAUCGAAUCCAUGAAAACAGCUUGUCUGGAGAUAUGGAUGUUGAUACCGAAGAGCUCAGCGGUUCUUGCUGAGUCCGGUGCGCUGUUGUCGGUCCUUGAAAAUCUGAAGGCGAGGUUUACCUCUGUGCUCAGCCGUACCAAUAUCCGCAGCAGGUCUCUAAGGUUAACAGCCUCUAGUUUCUAGAAUAAUGUAGGUAAGGGAAGUCGGCAAAACUGAUCCGUAACUUCGGGAUAAGGAUUGGCUCUGAAGGAUGGGUCAUUCGGGCUGUGUUCAAAAACUGGUGAUGCACCUGACCGGGACUGGACGCUGGCAACGGCGAUCGGACCUGUGUUGGUGUCUGCCUGUGGACGUUCAUGGCUACGCCUUGGUGCCCUGUGCAUCGAGUGUCGUUUCGGAUGACAUUCAACAUCUCACUCAGAACUGGCACGGACCCCGGGAAUCCGACUGUCUAAUUAAAACAAAGCAUUGCGAUGGCCGGAAAUCGGUGUUGACGCAAUGUGAUUUCUGCCCAGUGGUAUGAAUGUCAAUGUGAAGAAAUUCACUUAAGCGCUACUAAACGGCGGGAGUAACU